GAAGAAGCACCGGCUAACUCCGUGCCAGCAGCCGCGGUAAUACGGAGGGUGCGAGCGUUAAUCGGAAUUACUGGGCGUAAAGGGUUCGUAGGUGGUUAUAUAAGUUAUGUGUGAAAUCCCUGGGCUUAACCUGGGGCUGUCAGAUAAUACUGUAUGACUCGAGUAUAGGAGAGGGUAGUGGAAUUUCCGGUGUAGCGGUGAAAUGCGUAGAGAUCGGAAGGAACACCAGUGGCGAAGGCGGCUACCUGGCCUGAUACUGACACUGAGGAACGAAAGCGUGGGGAGCAAACAGGAUUAGAUACCCUGGUAGUCCACGCUGUAAACGAUGUCAACUAGCUGUUGGUCAUAUGAAGAUGAUUAGUGGCGCAGCAAACGCG
rnacentral:rRNA from 1 species